AAUGAAACAAUGAACUUGACAGAACUGAGCUGCGAAGUAAGCAGUGUCCAGUUUUCUUUCUUGGGGGCGCUUAUGAUUAUGGUCGAGCCCACAGUAUCGGACACUUACUCUGCAUUUCUCCAUUACACAAUGCAGGAGUUCGUUGGUGCCCUUUGGCUCUUACAGAAUCCAGACAAAAUCAGAGAGUUUCUACAGAAGUGCCAGACUGAAGAAUGGAAACACACAAAACACAUGGUUCCUUUCAUGUGUGGGCUUCUGAAUGAGAGGAAUAUUCGAUUGGUAAAUGGUCUUGUUCCAGCUCAACAGAUCAAGGAGACGUCAGAUUGGUUCUUCAAGGAAGUGGUGAACACAUUUCUUCCACUUCAAACAAACCAAGAUCAUGCAGAAGGUGGUGCUCCUGAGUUUGAGGUAGAUCUUCUGUUUUUAUGUCAGUGCUUGUAUGAAUCUCAGUCUACUGAGGCCUGUUUGCUUCUUCUGGACAAACUGGACUACAAUCUACACCUGGAUGAAGAACAUCUUGAUCCUCACCAGUGCUGUGCAGUCUCCUAUAUGAUCAGUCAGUCUGCAGAGAGAAAGGUUGACUUGGACCUGAACAGCUGCACUGUGUCAGACCAAGGACUAAGGCUGAUACUGGGCUCUCUGAAGAAUGUCCGAUAUCUCAGAUCUGACCCCUCAAUGCUGUGUCAACUCUGGACAACUUUGCUGAGCGGUGAGGCAGACAUUGACUUCACCAGCUUGCUUGGUCUCUGUGGAAAUGAGUUGCGCCUUCCAUUCCUGGGUGAAAGACGAGUGUUUGAGAGAGCAGAAGAAGUGAUGAAGCAGAGCCUGGAGAGGGUUAACCUCUGUCUACACUGGGAUCGGACAACUCUUCUCAGUGAAGCUCUCAGCAAGACCAUUUUAAAGUGUUUAACACAUAUCAACAAACUCAGUUUUAACCCACUACAUAAUCAGAGAGGAUCCCCUGAAAAACUAGAGAAAGAACAGAAAGCAGUCCUACUAAAUUUGUGUCUACAAGCCGCACUUUAUCACAGAGAAACGUUCCAGGGAGCUGUGAACACACUGCUGUCACUCUUCUCUGUGUAUCAAACUGAGAGAUAUGACAUCCUGCUGGAUCUGUACUCACAUGUGAAGGACUAUGAGACUCAAACAGGCAGGAGUGUCCUUCCAUCAUUGAGGCCACUUUAUCAGUCAGCUCCUGCAGUCUGGUCCAUAGACCUCUCAGAGAGAAAAGCCUCCCUCCUCCUAGAAGUGCUGAAACUCGAACCAGAUAAAAAAUCUGUCGAGCUGAAAGGCUGGUCAGACAAAGAGAGUGAAGUGAGGAGUUUCCUUCAGUGUCUGCCCUACAUCUCACAGCUGAGUUUUACUUCACCACAGGAUCAGAGAAGAUCCCCUGAAGAGUGGAGAAAGAGAGAGAAGACAUUCCUACUGAAUCUGUGUCUUCAAGCAGCCCUCCAUGCGAGAGAACACAUACAAACAACUGUAGAGAAAGUGUUUUCAUUGUCUGAAGUUUAUCAUGAUCGGAAAUGGGAUUUCCUGCUGGAUCUGUACUCACAUGUGAAGGACUAUGAGACUGAAACAGGCAGGAGUGUCCUUCCAGCAUUACAGCCAGUUUACCAGUCAGCUCCUGCAGUCUGGUCCAUAGACCUCUCAGAGAGAAAGGCCUCCCUCCUCCUAGAAGUGCUGAAACUCCAACCAGAGAAGAAACCAGUAGAGCUGGAAGGCUUGUCAGAUGAAGAGAGUGAAGUGAGGAGUUUCCUUCAGUGUCUGCCCUACAUCUCACAGCUGAGUUUCUAUCCAUGGUGGUCUGACAACUCAAAGCUGAUCAAGUUCCUGGUGGGUCUCCUGUCUCAAGCAGCAGAGUGGGAGGAGCAGUCAGGAGAGAAGACACUGAAGCUGCUAUCAUCAGUGUUUACUUACAGCACUUUCCCUCUCUAUGACUGGGAUGAUUAUCAUAAGUGGUUUCAAUGUGAUUUCCUGCUGGAUCUGUGCUCACAUGUGAAGGACUAUGAGACUCAAACAGGCAGAAGUGUCCUUCCAGUAUUACAGCCAGUUUACCAGUCAGCUCCUGCGGUCUGGUACAUAGACCUCUCAGAGAGAAAGGCCUCCCUCCUCCUAGACGUGCUGAAACUCCAACCAGAGAAGAAACCAGUAGAGCUGAUGAAGUGGUCAGAUGAAGAGAGUGAAGUGAGGAGUUUCCUUCAGUGUCUGCCCUACAUCUCACAGCUGAGUUUUACUUCACCACAGGAUCAGAGUAGAUCCCAUGAAGAGUGGAGAAAGAGAGAGAAGACAUUCCUACUGAAUCUGUGUCUUCAAGCAGCCCUCCAUGCGAGAGAACACAUACAAACAACUGUAGAGAAAGUGUUUUCAUUGUCUGAAGUUUAUCAUGAUCGGAAAUGGGAUCUCCUGCUGGAUCUGUACUCACAUGUGAAGGACUAUGAGACUCAAACAGGCAGGAAUGUCCUUCCAGCAUUACAGCCAGUUUACCAGUCAGCUCCUGCAGUCUGGUCCAUAGACCUCUCAGAGAGAAAGGCCUCCCUCCUCCUAGAAGUGCUGAAACUCCAACCAGAGAAGAAACCAGUAGAGCUGGAAGGCUUGUCAGAUGAAGAGAGUGAAGUGAGGAGUUUCCUUCAGUGUCUGCCCUACAUCUCACAGCUGAGUUUCUAUCCAUGGUGGUCUGACAACUCAAAGCUGAUCAAGUUCCUGGUGGGUCUCCUGUCUCAAGCAGCAGAGUGGGAGGAGCAGUCAGGAGAGAAGACACUGAAGCUGCUAUCAUCAGUGUUUACUUACAGCACUUUCCCUCUCUAUGACUGGGAUGAUUAUCAUAAGUGGUUUCAAUGUGAUUUCCUGCUGGAUCUGUGCUCACAUGUGAAGGACUAUGAGACUCAAACAGGCAGAAGUGUCCUUCCAGUAUUACAGCCAGUUUACCAGUCAGCUCCUGCGGUCUGGUACAUAGACCUCUCAGAGAGAAAGGCCUCCCUCCUCCUAGACGUGCUGAAACUCCAACCAGAGAAGAAACCAGUAGAGCUGAUGAAGUGGUCAGAUGAAGAGAGUGAAGUGAGGAGUUUCCUUCAGUGUCUGCCUUACAUCUCACAGCUGAGGCUGAAUGUGGGCAUGGCAGUGAGACUGGCCAGACUGGCUAGGAGGACAGGGAGAGGGGGUACUCCACUGACUGUCCCAGAACUCUCCCUGGUCCUAAAGAGCAGCCAGCCACCAGAGAGAGUGUUAUCCAGAGCUCUGAGUAGUGUGGCGUCCCUGCUGAGAUUCUGGAGGGUUCAGUGUCUGGACCUGACUGACUUCUGCAUCCAGGGUCACUCUCUCAUCACACUGCUGUGUCACCAGGACCCUCACACUCUCAGACUGAACUCAGACACUCUGCAGCAGCUGGCUGUGGCUGUGUAUGAAGCUCAGGACAAGGACUUGACUCAGUGGUUCCUGGAGAAGGUUGGUGGAGACCUGACCUCCUGCAGGCUGGACUGGGACGUGCUUCUCUCUCUGCUGCAGCAUUCAACCCACAACAUCACAGUGGACCUCAGGAAGAACAGGCUUCUAGAGAAGAACAUCUCAGAUCUUCUCCCCUUUCUGGGAAGGGUUAUAUUCAAGAGGCUCAGUUCCAGCUUUGUGAAGUCCACCAUCAGACAGAUCUAUGACAGUAGAGACAGUGACUGUGUGUCCAGUUUGUUGAGGUCUUCAGACCAUUGGAUCAACCUGAACAGCAGAGAGCUGGACAGAGUGGACUGUACUGCUCUGUGUUUCACCCUGCAGCACAGCCACCAAGUCAAAGUCAACCUGCUGUGGACCUCCAUACCACCGGGGGAGAUAGAGAGCAUCCUGCCUCUUCUGGACAGAGUCUCCCAACUCAGUGUUGACAGGAAGCUGUUGCUGAGUUUCCUCCACUCCUGCGCUGCCUCUCAGAUCCUACAGGGGGCACUAUCACCACCACCAACAAUAACAACAACAGCAGCAGAGCUGCUCAGGGCUCUGCAGCACAGGUUGGACUUCUCCUGCUCCUCCUCUGUGGACCUGUCAGCUCACGACCAGGGGGAGGCGCUGUGUCUGACCACUGACCACUGUAGGGCCAUAAACUCUGUUCUGAAGCAGAGCCAACACAGCACACGGCUGGUUCAGAACCCGACCCGGAACCAGUCCCGAAACCAGCCCCAGGUGCAACUCAUCCUUAAAGACUGUGAGGUGGAGCAUGGAGCACUGAGAGAGCUGCUUCCCAUCUUGCAUAUUGUCAAGCUGAGCCCCAGCAAAGCUCUGCUACUUCAGCUGCUGGACCAUGUGUGUGAGGGGAUUGAAGAGGGGGUUCUGAAGCACGCAGAGUCCCUGUGCAGAGCCCUGGAUGGGGAGCUGGACCUCAGUAAGACCAGGCUGAACCAGAAGGCCUGUGGAUCUCUGGCCCUGGUUCUGGAACACUCAGAGGGGCUGUCAGAACUGUACCUCAACCACUGCCAACUCACAGACCACCACCUACAGCCCCUGCUCACACACCUGCACAAAGUUGAAGUCCUGGACCUGAGUCACAAUGACAUCACUGAUGCUCUGACCGACAGAAUACUCCAAUUGGUCUCUACCAACACUUCAAUACGCACCGUACGGCUCUUCAACAACAGAAUCAACGACAGAAGUCCGUUCCUGACAGACAAGAGGUUUGAGAUCUGGUGAAGCAGCAUCAGGUCCAAGUCCAGACAGAGGAAGAGAAGAUGGAUGUUGAAGAAGAGAAGAUGGAUGUUGAAGAAGAGAAGAUGGAUGUUGAAGAUGGGUGUAGUAGCUACGAAGCCUCGGCAGGGUGAGACUAGAGGGACUUUUCUGACCAGCAUCCCAUCAACCUUGACCCUAACUGUAACCUGAUUUUAACCAAUUCUUAAAUAUUGAUUUGCAUGUCAGCCACAUCCCCUUAGUUUUUAGCUGACCUCAUCAUGGUGUCAGACGAACGGCAAGUGAUUAUGGGGCUAAGGUAUUGUAAAAAUAGUUGAGACUCCAGAACUCUGGAAUGUUCUGAGUGUAAUGGAUAGGAAUGUGUAGUUCUAUUUACCUCUUACAUGGUUCUUAAACACACAGGAACAUGUGUAGUAUAACGUUUUUUGAGCUUUACUUAACUUGAUGAUUUUUGUGAUCAGUCAAUUUGUGAAAUUCCAUCAGAAGGAAUAGAUUGUAUAUGCAUUUCUAUAGUCUAGUAUUUAUCAGGUGGAUGGGAAUGUGUUCUACAGUUGCAAUGGGAGCCUUAAUACAUGAGUGUUUUGUUGCAGGUCAACUGCAUGGUAUUGUGUUACUCAGGCUAGCCUUGUUGUGGACCAAGCUUCCCUAUUCAGGAAGCCAGAGGUGUGUUGAGUUCGCUUGAACGUUUGCUACGUUGUGCAACGGUUUGUACUGAAUGACACGUUUCCCCAAAAUGUUUUUGAACAGACUUCGAGGUACAUUUGGUGGGUGUGGCGAGGUGUGGCUUGAAGCAAUGAGUGACAUAUUUUUAUUUUUAAAGGGCAGUGGCCAUGCUGACAGCAUUCUCCAACCCACAACCCAACCCUUCCCCAUUUUUCAACUGGUUGUUCAGUACAUCACCGUUUCCGUACAAUUGAACCGUUUCAGAAUGUAAAAACAUACUGAUCGCAGCCCUGGUGAAGUCCAUGGUAGAAAGUAACUACAAGUGUGGUGGAAACCAUUGAAGCCUCGCAACACGUCAAACCAAUCAAUUGCCUUGCUUUGGCCGAGCACUAAAGGUGCCCACUAGUGCCGUAGGAGCAACAGUGUGAGUGGAUGCCCAGGAAGUUGCUGAUGUAUAACAUAGCCUUUAUGUACACAUACCAUAACAAAAUGUAUUUAGUAGAGCAGUUGUAAUACCUUCAUCGACUUGUGAAGAACAUUACACGCAGCUUCCCUUUUAGGGGCAUGUGGGGGAGGUUUCUUGAAAUAUAACAUCCAAUCAAAAUGUAGCCGCUGGAACCUAGCAGACCAUUCUAACUGUUUUGGCUAAUACAAAAUUCUCCAGACCUCCAAAGGAGGCAUGACAACAAUGUGAUUUUGGAGGUAUGGCUACAUGAGACUAGUACAAGCCUUUCUCAUAUCAAAACAGACAAACUAUAAGAAAUAAUAUAUGAAUAUUUUGUGUUUUUAAUAAAUGUACCUUGAGGCCCAUGAUUGGUUUUUGACUGUGGUCUCUUCAGGUUGAAAUCAUUACUAGUAAAUCCUAAAUAAUCUGUUUCAAGUUAAUGCUGGUAUUAAAGCGAUCCCAUCC
rnacentral:lncRNA from 1 species